rnacentral:rRNA from 1 species
UGGGGAAUAUUGGACAAUGGGCGCAAGCCUGAUCCAGCCAUGCCGCGUGAGUGAUGAAGGCCCUAGGGUUGUAAAGCUCUUUCACCGGUGAAGAUAAUGACGUUAACCGGAGAAGAAGCCCCGGCUAACUUCGUGCCAGCAGCCGCGGUAAUACGAAGGGGGCUAGCGUUGUUCGGAUUUACUGGGCGUAAAGCGCACGUAGGCGGACUAUUAAGUCAGGGGUGAAAUCCCGGGGCUCAACCCCGGAACUGCCUUUGAUACUGGUAGUCUUGAGUUCGAGAGAGGUGGGUGGAAUUCCGAGUGUAGAGGUGAAAUUCGUAGAUAUUCGGAGGAACACCAGUGGCGAAGGCGGCUCACUGGCUCGAUACUGACGCUGAGGUGCGAAAGCGUGGGGAGCAAACAGG